AGGAGGUAGAGCGGAGCGUGCGUCGACGGAGGACGAGAGGAGCGGCAACAGGUAGAUGAGCUGCCAGCCGGACCACCAGCAGCCUCGUGCGCCGUUUUGGAACCUUCUCGAGGCGGGACGAACCGCAGAGUAGGCGGCUGCUGCAGCGGGCCAAGCACUCGCCGGAGCGGAGGCUGGGUAGGACGAGGCCACCUUUGGAGUGGUGGAUGCGGGUACCAUAGUACAAGGUGGUCCUCUUCUACCUUGAGUGCGGUCGGAUGGGCGUGUGGCAGCGUGUCACUUGAAGCGGCUCCUUCGUUAUAAACAACGUGUUACAGUACUCGUUGUCACGUCACCACUGGAAGCGAA
rnacentral:rRNA from 1 species